CAAGAGGACUUCUUGGAGGGCGACUUACCCUGAGAUCCUAGAAAGAAUUGGACUCUUAAGAUUGAGAUUCAAAGACUGAGUACCAGCUGGUCCUUCACAAUCUGGAAAAAAAGAUCCAAGUCGAAGCUUCCCAGCCAAAAUGCAAUUAGUCCCAGUUCCUCAUUAUGAUCUUUGCAAAUGCUAUUUGCAUAUCAUUAACAUUACCGCCAUAUUGCCCCAUCAAUAAACAACGACAGCUGUCGCUCCUCUCAGAGCCGGUUUGUGAAGCCCAUGAGCGAGAGGGCUUCCUGCUCAAUGAUA